rnacentral:rRNA from 1 species
GAUGAACGCUGGCGGCGUGCCUAAUACAUGCAAGUAGAACGCUGAAGCUUGGUGCUUGCACCGAGCGGAUGAGUUGCGAACGGGUGAGUAACGCGUAGGUAACCUGCCUCUUAGCGGUGGAUAACUAUUGGAAACGAUAGCUAAUACCGCAUAAAAGUCGAUAUCGCAUGAUAUUGAUUUGAAAGGUGCAAAUGCAUCACUAAGAGAUGGACCUACGUUGUAUUAGCUAGUUGGUGAGGUAACGGCUCACCAAGGCGACGAUACAUAGCCGACCUGAGAGGGUGAUCGGCCGGACUGGGACUGAGACACGGCCCAGAGUGCUACAGAAGGCAGCAAUAGGGAAUCGUCGGCAAUGGGGGCAAACUUGACCGAGCAACGCCGCGUGAGUGAGGAAGGUUUUCGGAUCGUAAAGCUCUGUUGUAAGGGAAGAACGAGUGUGAGAGUGGAAAGUUCACACUGUGACGGUAACUUACCAGAAAGGGACGGCUAACUACGUG